GACGCUGGCCAAUGAGCCUACACAGAAUGUC
rnacentral:piRNA from 1 species